GUUGAACGCUGGCGGCAUGCCUUACACAUGCAAGUCGAACGGCAGCACGGGGGCGAACCCUGGUGGCGAGUGGCGAACGGGUGAGUAAUGCAUCGGAACGUGCCCCGUAGCGGGGGAUAACCAGUCGAAAGACUGGCUAAUACCGCAUACGCUCCACGGAGGAAAGCAGGGGAUCGCAAGACCUUGCACUAUGGGGAGCGGCCGAUGCCCGAUUAGCUAGUUGGUGAGGAAAGGCUCACCAAGGCGACGAUCGGUAGCUGGUUUGAGAGAACGACCAGCCACACUGGGACUGAGACACGGCCCAGACUCCUACGGGAGGCAGCAGUGGGGAAUUUUGGACAAUGGGCGCAAGCCUGAUCCAGCCAUGCCGCGU
rnacentral:rRNA from 1 species